GAAACAACACCGCUAGCGCAAGUAGUAAUGGCUGCCGUAGAGAGGAGUUGCACCUGUGACACUUUUCAGGUCCAGCCAUCAUUACAGUGAGGCUUUUAGCCUCUCGUGUGAUGAAUCAUCGAGUGGGCGGUGCGGAUUUGGGCUGAUCCUAUCCUGCUUUCAACAACCAGGAGGAAAGUUGUGGGAAGCAGGCGGUGUAUCGUGUCCGCCAGAGAAGUCCUGACCCAUUCAUGGAUCAGGUUAUAGCGCAUCAGCUGUUGGAGGUGUUCUGUGGGAUUGAGGAGAGGUGUUCUAACUUAAUUACUUUCCCAUGCUGUAUAUAAAUUUCUGUACUUCAUAGCCGUGGCCUGGCCAUCAAAAUAAUUGUAAAUUGGUCAUUCAGAUAGCGGUGAACUGACCAUCAAGAUAGCGGUGAACUGACCAUCAAGAUAGCGGUGAACUGACCAUCAAGAUAGCGGUGAACUGACAACUCAGAUAGCUGUAAAUGGACCACUGAGAUAACUGUGAACUGACCAUCACGGUAACUGUAAACUAACCAUUCAGAUAGCUGUGAACUGACCAUCCAGUUUAUCGUAUAACCUGUGGAGGAUUUUUACACAGUUUCUCUGCUAGGAUGAAUAUGAUCAGUGUUUAUGGAAGAGCCACAUUGCUGAAGCUGACUUAAAUCUUUUGACAUUGAAAUUCACUUUUGGUAUUUCUGGUGCUUUUGUGCGACGUUCUGUCAGUGAAGUGUUACAAGAACGAAGAUGGAGAACAAUUUUUCCUCCCAGGGGAGGGAUAUCGGCAGACCCGAUUUUCCGUCAGUUAUGGACU